GUCUAAGGCCAUAGCACCCUGAGCAGCCCUAUCUCAUCUGAUCUCGGAAGCUAAGCAGGGUCGGGCCUGGUUAGUACUUGGGUGGGAGACCGUCUGGGCAUACCGGUGCUGUAGGCU
rnacentral:rRNA from 1 species